rfam:Triticum aestivum genome assembly, contig: Triticum_aestivum_CS42_TGACv1_scaffold_408637_5BL
UCUCCAUGAUGAUGAAUACAUAUGACGAGUCUAAUGCAAUCCAUUCAGUUGAAUUGUGUGGACAAUCAAGGCAUCUGCCAGAGAGAA